rnacentral:lncRNA from 1 species
UGAUAUAAAAUAAAAACUACAUCGAUCACAUCGAUGCUCUGAAUUUGAUCUAAUCUUUAGAUCACAUCGAUUGAGUUCAGAACUCAUCAUCUUUUUAUGGGUCAAUGAUCUCUACUACUAGUAGAUAUGGUAUGAAGCUCUUGCUGAUAUCGAAUAGCCACACAGAUCGUCUGACCUCUACAGAUCAUCCACUCGAAGUCUUGAUCGGAUCUUCCUUCACGAGAGUGCUAGCUCGCAUCGAAGGCUUAGAUGGCUGAUCCAAGCUCCUUUCUUUGGAUCUCUCAAACUCCUCGGAUUAGAAGAUGAAGCUUUACAAAGAGGUGGUGGUGUGGAAGAUUGAACAAGAUACACUUGUUUUUUUUUUCCUCACAAAAUAUAGAGUUGAAACUCUAGAACCCACCCUACACCUCAUGUCCGAGAGGAAGAUCACUUCCUCUGUUUCUCACGCAUGGAAGCCCAACCCACCCUCAGCUUUUCAUGCCCCAACUUUGAGGUAUCUCACACCAAAAAUCACUUCUUUUCUCACAUAAAAUUGAUCCAUUCUUAAGGGUGGCAUUCCAUAGAAGAUAAGGAUAAGAAAAAGAUAGUUUUGGUUCAAUUUCAAACCUUGGUUGAUCUUUAUCAUCAAUUUAAAUCAAAUUUGAAUUAAAUUUUGAACCAAACUUUAUUCUCAUCUUAUGAACUCAGAGAGGGGCUGACCAAUAUUAGAAUGGCAUAAAAAAUCUCACACAAAAAUACUUUAUGCAUGGAGAAAAGUGGUGGCAUGAAGAGAAGAGUCUAAUUCAAUUUGGACUCUAGGUUUUUAUUUAAAUUCAAAUCCAUUUGAACUCAAAUUUAAACCAAUCAAUUUCUAAUUCAAACAGAAAUCAGAUGUGAAUAUGGAAUAGCUUCUGGGCAUAAGAAAAAUUCACGUAAAAAAAAUUUCUCACAUGAAGAAUAAGAGGACGUAGAGAAAGGAGGCGCA